GGGGGACAGGGUGACAGGUGGUGCAUGGUUGUCGUCAGCUCGUGUCGUGAGAUGUUGGGUUAAGUCCCGCAACGAGCGCAACCCUCGACCUUAGUUGCCAGCAUUCAGUUGGGCACUCUAAGGUGACUGCCGGCUAAAAGUCGGAGGAAGGUGGGGAUGACGUCAAAUCAUCAUGCCCCUUAUGACCUGGGCUACACACGUGCUACAAUGGGCGGUACAAAGGGUCGCGAACCCGCGAGGGGGAGCCAAUCCCAAAAAGCCGCUCUCAGUUCGGAUUGCAGGCUGCAACUCGCCUGCAUGAAGCCGGAAUCGCUAGUAAUCGCGGAUCAGCAUGCCGCGGUGAAUACGUUCCCGGGCCUU
rnacentral:rRNA from 1 species